UCGUCGAACCAUCUCGAAACAAAUCGAAUCACCGACAGACAUCACUGGAAUCGAUCUGGCGGGGCGGCCGGUACUGGCGCCGUCCACCCCAGCGCCUCUCACGCUUCUCAGCCCCACCGCCCACCACCAUGAUGUACCUCCACCUCGACGUCCUCUCCGCCCCCUUGCCCGUCUCCUCCAACGCCGACCUCAGCAAGCAUGCCGUCAAUGUCGUCCGUCUACGGACGCCUCUCCUGCCCCCUCCGACACAGCAGUUCGAGCGCUCCCACCUCCCCGUGCUCCUCGUCAUCCCCUCCACCCAUCGUCAUCUCCUUUGUUACCAGCCGCCGCAAGCCGCGCCUCCCACCACCACCACGCCCCCUUCUCGUGGCCAUCUCCUCCGUGUGCUUCCCCGUCUCCCUCGACGCCAACCUUCGCAAGCACGCCACCGACGCCAACCUCCACAAGUACGCCACCGGCAAGGUCGUUCCCCGGUGAAUCUCCCCUUCCUCGCGGUCUCCUCCAUCCCUGCCCCGUCUCCUAUAUACACUGCAAAAGGAGCACAGGGUUGAGCACACCCACACCGAGGCCAAGGAGGAUGAGCGUGCCGCUGCUGAUGGGACAGGCAGGAGAGAGAAAAUCUUCUCGUUUUCCACCACGCCACCCUCUGUUGGCCACAACAGCUUAGACGAGGACGGCACAUCGCGGAAGUCAGUCGAUUCUUCGGCCUUCGACCCUAACGGUAGCGGCCUUCUGAGAUCGAUCCUCGUCCGUCCAGUUGCUCUAGCUGUCAGUAAAUUGCAGUUGCACUUGCGAGCAUCCUGGUGGUGGAGGCAAGCGGCGGUUAGGAUGCUGCUGUAUUGUGCGCUGAUGAGGUGGUUGGGCACCGUACAGGGGGCACUCGGUGGAGGAGUUCACACAUCGGAUUUCUGAUUGGCGGUUGUUCGAAUGUGGUGUCCAAGGACAAGGGGUAAAGGUGUUAGACUGCUGCCAGGGGAGGCGUAUGGUUCUGUCAGGCAACAUGCUGGUCACACUCUCACAUCUUCAGAUCAAACGGAGUGUGGAGCUCGGACUCACUGCCCUUCGCCUUCUGAUGCUUCGUCAAGGUACAAUAUAAUUCCACCUGGACACGCAGAUUUGGGUGAAAAUUUUGAAUUUGAGAAAUGACAUGAUAGGCAGAAUGAGGUUUGGGGAAUAAAAGGCAGUAGUUGAGCAGAGCACGUCUAUGUGCAUCACACCAGAACAUACCGCGGAGCGCGUCGGCGGUGAGGAUGAGCAGCGCGUAGCCAGCGGCAUACUUGUGGAGGUCAGCGUCCGAGGAGACGGGGAGCAUGCAGAUGAGAUGGUGAUGACGAGGAGGAGGUGGCGGCGGUGGGUGGAGGAAUGAUGCAGCAAGGGAGGAAGCACGAGAGGUGUUGGGGCAUAGACAGCGCCGUCCGCGUACUUGCGGGGAGUGGAAUCGCAAGAGAUGGAGGAGCGGGUGGAGGGGAUGGCGAGGAAGAGGGGGACGUGGUGGAGAUGGUGGGGGCUGGGGCUACGGUGGAAGGGGAGGAGGCAGGAGUGUCUGGUCAAUUUUGAUGUGUGUAGGGGUUUUGUACUUCUGAAUUUUCUCAAAGAAAUUUGCAUUGUCGGGCUCAGCUACUUCUGAAUUUUGGGGUUGCCUCACAAAGGGCGAGAUGCAUGAUAGUGACACAAAGAUGGGCGAGCACGGGGAAUGUAGGAACCUGCAAGGUGUUGUGUCACAGUUACUGCUGCAAGGAUGACUAUAGCGGCAACUGUUUGCACAAUAACUUAUUAAUGACAUAGGUGAGGAUGAUAUUUUUUCUUUAUCAGUAGUCAUAUUUGUCAGAUUAAGAUCCACAUGUAAUCAUUCCAACACCUUGUAUCAUAAGAGCUAGCCGAAAGUGAUUAUGCUUUUAAGCCAGUUGGUAUUUUUUCUUUUAAGCCAGUUGGUAUUUUUUUACGGAAAGUGUUUCUCACCAAGGAAGGUAAUUAUAAUAAGCAUUAGCGUCAGCAUGAUAUUUAGAUAACCGAAAUAUGAUAAAAUAUACUCAGGAGAUCCUGAUCUUACUAAGUGCACAGUUCUCCAAGAAUAUAGUCAGAACAUUUUUUGUUGUUGUGCUCAAGUAGCAAGCAGUAGCAGGCAGUAGGUGACUUUGGUUUUCCUCGUGUUAUAUUCAACUCCUGCUUUAUUUAAUGUAAGAAGCGGGUGAAAUUUGUUCAACUAAGUAGUAAUCCAAUGAUAUGUAUACAGCAAAGGUUUCCUGCCAGGACCAUUGCCUCCAGUUUCUUGAUGUACGUUGACCAUUUAUUUGUAAGAUGUAACAUAUACCAAGGCACCUAUAUGAUACAGGGGAAAUCUGUAACAUCCCAAAUUUUCAAUUUAGAUUGUUAUACAAAUAGAUCAUUAUUGCAUAUCAUAUUUAAUGCAUUUUGCCUCGAUCCUAGAAAUUCCACGCAACUCACAGACCCCCGGAGAGAGUUGGGGAUUUCGUUAUUUUCAUAUUUGAGUUUUCUCAAAUUUUGAAAAUAGGAUCAUUUGAUUUUAUUUAUUUUAUCUUCAAUCAUUUCAAAUUAUAAAUUAUGA